rnacentral:rRNA from 1 species
CCUCUAAAAGUGCAAUACCCAAGCUUAUAUCGAAUAGUUAGACAUAAGUUUGUCACGAUUAAGCAGGUAUUGGGACAAGUAAACCCGGAUAUUUCUUUUCGCAGAACGAUUUCUGGACCUCGUUUGAAUGCAUGGAACGAUCUGCUGACUCGUUUGGAAGCUGUCCAACUGUCGGCUGAAUUGGACAUCUUUAAAUGGAACCUGCAUCUGAACGGAAGAUUUUCGGUUAAAUCCAUGUACGAUGCACUAGUUCAUAACGAGGUUCCAUCUGAUAAUAGAAAAUUGUGGAAGCUUAAGAUUCCUCUAAGAGUGAAGAUUUUCCUUUGGUUUCUCAACAAAGGUGUUAUCUUAACUAGGGAUAAUUUAGCCCGACGAAGCUGGCAAGGCAGCAAAAAAUGUGUUUUUUGCAAUCAUAAUGAAUCCAUUAAACACCUAUUUUUUGAUUGCAAAUUCGCUAGAUCGGUAUGGGCAAUGGUCCAAAUUGCUUCGAAUCUAUACCCUCCACGCAGCAUACGGAAUAUGUUCGGGAAUUGGCUGAGGGGAAUAAAUAAACAAUUUUCUAAGCACAUUCUUGCGGGGGCGGCUGCCUUAUGUUGGGUGUUGUGGCUAACCAGGAAUGAUAUUGUUUUUGAUCAUGAAAGUGUUUCAUCUCCUAUGCAGGUAAUUCAUAUAUGCUCGCGAUGGCUCCGUAUGUGGUCUAUCCUGCAGAGGCCGGAGGAUAGAGACUUUUUUAUGAUGGCUUCUACCCGGUUGGAGUGCUCGGCCAGGGACAUUUUCUACCCCCAUGGAUGGCGGUGUGACCUUCGGAUAGGCCCGGCAUCACCUUAG